AGGCACCUCCAAGUGGACAGAGCACCUCAUCUUGCCACCAUGAGCACCACCACAGGGCCUGAAGCUGCACCCAAACCAAGUGCAAAGUCUAUCUAUGAACAGAGAAAACGUUACUCCACCGUGGUUAUGGCUGACGUGUCCCAGUAUCAUGUCAAUGUGAGUCUGGGGUCUAUGUUUCUCUAAGACGUUUCCUGGGGAGAGGUGAGCCUGAAGUGAUAGGCCUUUUGAAAACAGGGACUGGGGACGGGGGCAGCCAUCAGGAUGUAAAGUG
rnacentral:lncRNA from 1 species